rnacentral:rRNA from 1 species
UAGGGAAUCUUCGGCAAUGGACGAAAGUCUGACCGAGCAACGCCGCGUGAGUGAAGAAGGUUUUCGGAUCGUAAAACUCUGUUGUUAGAGAAGAACAAGGACGUUAGUAACUGAACGUCCCCUGACGGUAUCUAACCAGAAAUCCACGGCUAACUACGUGCCAGCAGCCGCGGUAAUACGUAGGUGGCAAGCGUUGUCCGGAUUUAUUGGGCGUAAAGCGAGCGCAGGCGGUUUCUUAAGUCUGAUGUGAAAGCCCCCGGCUCAACCGGGGAGGGUCAUUGGAAACUGGGAGGCUUGAGUGCAGAAGAGGAGAGUGGAAUUCGAUGUGUAGCGGUGAAAUGCGUAGAUAUAUGGAGGAACACCAGUGGCGAAGGCGGCUCUCUGGUCUGUAAAUGAAGCUGAGGCUCGAAAGCGUGGGGAGCAAACAGG